rnacentral:rRNA from 1 species
GAUGAACGCUGGCGGCGUGCCUAAUACAUGCAAGUCGAGCGAACGGACGAGAAGCUUGCUUCUCUGAUGUUAGCGGCGGACGGGUGAGUAACACGUGGAUAACCUACCUAUAAGACUGGGAUAACUUCGGGAAACCGGAGCUAAUACCGGAUAAUAUUUUGAACCGCAUGGUUCAAAAGUGAAAGACGGUCUUGCUGUCGCUUAUAGAUGGAUCCGCGCUGCAUUAGCUAGUUGGUAAGGUAACGACUUACCAAGGCAACGAUGCAUAGCCGACCUGAGAGGGUGAUCGGCCACACUGGAACUGAGACACGGUCCAGACUCCUACGGGAGGCAGCAGUAGGGAAUCUUCCGCAAUGGGCGAAAGCCUGACGGAGCAACGCCGCGUGAGUGAUGAAGGUCUUCGGAUCGUAAAACUCUGUUAUUAGGGAAGAACAUAUGUGUAAGUAACUGUGCACAUCUUGACGGUACCUAAUCAGAAAGCCACGGCUAACUACGUG